rnacentral:rRNA from 1 species
AGAGUUUGAUCAUGGCUCAGGACGAACGCUGGCGGCGUGCUUAACACAUGCAAGUCGAACGAGACGAUUGAAAGCUUGCUUUUGAAAGUCGAGUGGCAAACGGGUGAGUAACGCGUAGACAACCUGCCGUAAAGAUGGGGACAACAGUCCGAAAGGACUGCUAAUACCGAAUGUUGUAAAUCUUCCGCAUGGAAGACUUACUAAAGGUGGCCUCUACUUGUAAGCUAUCGCUUUACGAUGGGUCUGCGUCUGAUUAGCUGGUUGGUGGGGUAACGGCCUACCAAGGCGACGAUCAGUAGCCGGUCUGAGAGGAUGAACGGCCACAUUGGAACUGAGACACGGUCCAGACUCCUACGGGAGGCAGCAGUGGGGAAUCUUCCGCAAUGGGCGCAAGCCUGACGGAGCAACGCCGCGUGAGUGAAGAAGGGUUUCGACUCGUAAAGCUCUGUUGUCGGGGACGAACGUGGAGACGGCAAAUAGUCGUUUCCAAUGACGGUACCUGACGAGGAAGCCACGGCUAACUACGUGCCAGCAGCCGCGGUAAUACGUAGGUGGCGAGCGUUGUCCGGAAUUAUUGGGCGUAAAGGGAGCGCAGGCGGGAAGGUAAGUCUAUCUUAAAAGUGCGGGGCUCAACCCCGUGAGGGGAUGGAAACUAUCUUUCUUGAGUGCAGGAGAGGAAAGCGGAAUUCCUAGUGUAGCGGUGAAAUGCGUAGAUAUUAGGAGGAACACCAGUGGCGAAGGCGGCUUUCUGGACUGUAACUGACGCUGAGGCUCGAAAGCGUGGGGAGCGAACAGGAUUAGAUACCCUGGUAGUCCACGCCGUAAACGAUGAAUGCUAGGUGUAGGAGGUAUCGACCCCUUCUGUGCCGGAGUUAACGCAAUAAGCAUUCCGCCUGGGGAGUACGGCCGCAAGGCUGAAACUCAAAGGAAUUGACGGGGGCCCGCACAAGCGGUGGAGUAUGUGGUUUAAUUCGACGCAACGCGAAGAACCUUACCAGGGCUUGACAUUGAGUGAAAGGACAAGAGAUUGUCCCCUCUCUUCGGAGACACGAAAACAGGUGGUGCAUGGCUGUCGUCAGCUCGUGUCGUGAGAUGUUGGGUUAAGUCCCACAACGAGCGCAACCCUUAUCCUUUGUUGCCAGCACGUUAUGGUGGAAACUC